UAUAUACCUGAAUACUUGUUUUAAAAACAGUGCUCACAGCGACACAUAGAAAAAGCCACAACAAUCAUGACCUUAGGGAAAAACUAUAAGCCGAACUAAACUUUUCAUAACUCAUUUUACAGUUGAGCACGUUCAAGUGGCCACCUCCCCGUGGACACAACAUCAAGCAUGCGCCAUGUUAUCAACGCUUAAAGCAUAUUUUAGCCACACACUUAAUUACCCGAAGGCCCAAGUUGGAAAAAGCUGAAGCUGUUGUGCCCCCAUCUACCCAUCUAAAAUGCAACAAAUGGAAGCCUCGGUGGCAACAAGAACAACGAUCAACCAGCAAAUGCCCUGCAAAGUGUCGAUAAUUACCUGUAAAAGUUUGAGCCAAACCAUUAGCAGCAUAAUGAGGCCUGUCUAGCAUAGAUUUCCCAGUCGGACCAAAGCAACCGUUACUAUCGUGUGGCGCAUUUGGAAAUCCCUCUGUCCCUCGCCCCAAAUGAAACAAAAAACGUGAAGCAGAGCGAGUUGAAGAGGGGCAGCAAAGAAAGGAGAAAAAAAUAGCAAAUACCGAAACACAACUAAAACUUUCACCCAUUUGAACUUGGGAGCUAAAAUUGGGAGUGGGAAGGGAGCCGGAGGAAACGUGGAUCUAGAGUAAAAAUAAUGGCAACAACCACACUUGACUGGCGUUGAGUGGUUCAUAAUUAAAGGGGAAAACCUCAAAAAAGCCUUGAACUCAUUCAACUGGCUGUGGCUGCAUUGCGUGCAGUUUGGCCCGAAAGUUGGCCAAGUUGCUCUGGCCGCACAAUUGUUGCACGCACACAGUCCACAGACCACAGUCAAGUGGAGUGGAAAAAUGCCGAUGGGCGUGUCCAUCCUUCCAGUGGGGAAGGCCAAAUGCACUAGGAAAAUUUGUAAGAAAUGUUUUGGAAACUUAUAAAACCAGAAAUAUGUAUUUUAAUAACCAAACUUAAUUUUUGUACAUGAUUGUAGUAAUUUAUAGAACUGAACAGAUCGGGCGAAUACGUAAUUAUAAUUCUUGAAUUAAAGGAAACUCUUACUUUUGAAACUUAA